GAUGAACGCUGGCGGCGUGCCUAAUACAUGCAAGUCGAGCGAACAGACGAGGAGCUUGCUCCUCUGACGUUAGCGGCGGACGGGUGAGUAACACGUGGAUAACCUACCUAUAAGACUGGGAUAACUUCGGGAAACCGGAGCUAAUACCGGAUAAUAUAUUGAACCGCAUGGUUCAAUAGAGAAAGACGGUUUUGCUGUCACUUAUAGAUGGAUCCGCGCCGCAUUAGCUAGUUGGUAAGGUAACGGCUUACCAAGGCAACGAUGCGUAGCCGACCUGAGAGGGUGAUCGGCCACACUGGAACUGAGACACGGUCCAGACUCCUACGGGAGGCAGCAGUAGGGAAUCUUCCGCAAUGGGCGAAAGCCUGACGGAGCAACGCCGCGUGAGUGAUGAAGGUCUUCGGAUCGUGAAACUCUGUUAUUAGGGAAGAACAAAUGUGUAAGUAACUAUGCACGUCUUGACGGUACCUAAUCAGAAAGCCACGGCUAACUACGUG
rnacentral:rRNA from 1 species